rnacentral:rRNA from 1 species
AUGCACGCUAGCUACAGGCUUAACACAUGCAAGUCGAGGGGAAACGACAUCGAAAGCUUGCUUUUGAUGGGCGUCGACCGGCGCACGGGUGAGUAACGCGUAUCCAACCUGCCCAUCACUUGGGAAUAACCUUGCGAAAGUAAGACUAAUACCCAAUGAUAUCCCACGAAGGCAUCGGAAUGGGAUUAAAGAUUUAUCGGUGAUGGAUGGGGAUGCGUCUGAUUAGCUUGUUGGCGGGGUAACGGCCCACCAAGGCAACGAUCAGUAGGGGUUCUGAGAGGAAGGUCCCCCACAUUGGAACUGAGACACGGUCCAAACUCCUACGGGAGGCAGCAGUGAGGAAUAUUGGUCAAUGGGCGAGAGCCUGAACCAGCCAAGUAGCGUGCAGGAAGACGGCCCUAUGGGUUGUAAACUGCUUUUAGAAGGGAAUAAAGUGGGUCACGUGUGACUUUUUGCAUGUACCUUAUGAAUAAGGACCGGCUAAUUCCGUG